rnacentral:lncRNA from 1 species
CUUCCGGCCAUCUUUUCCGGCACCCGCUCCUCCUCCCCUCAUCUGAUGCCCUCUCACGAGGUCUCUGCACAACUACCUCCGGCUAUGGUCGCCGAUAAGGGGUGGCCAGAUGACCGGUCUCUGUCGGAUUCCGUCAACGUCAUCUCGGGGGAAUCCCGACGGGAGGCAAUCAGCGCACCAGCUGCAUCCCCUAAGCGGCAAAAGGUUGAAGAACC